rnacentral:rRNA from 1 species
UACGUAGGGACCGAGCGUUGUCCGGAAUCAUUGGGCGUAAAGAGCGUGUAGGCGGCUUGCUAAGUCUUGCGUGAAAUCUCGGGGCUCAACCCCGAGCGGUCGUGGGAAACUGGCAGGCUAGAGUGCGGGAGAGGAGAAUGGAAUUCCUGGUGUAGCGGUGAAAUGCGCAGAUAUCAGGAAGAACACCCGUGGCGAAGGCGGUUCUCUGGGCAACAACUGACGCUGAGGAGCGAAAGCGUGGGGAGCGAACAGG